GGCUGCCCCCAGCAGGCCGAUAGUGUUUUGUAUUCGCGCCAAACAUUUUCAUUAAUUUCAUUUGUUUAGCUUAUUAUUGUCUCCUUGUUAAUAGUUUUAGAUGUUGCUAAAUUCGUUUUGUUCCGCUUGAUCCGAACCUGCGACUCACACCGCUGGAAAUGACCUCGAUAAUCGGAAAAAUUAAAUCUGUUGCCGUAAAGGACUUUGUAACGUAUGAUGUCGCAAUCUUUUACCCCGACGAACACCUCAACAUCAUAAUCGGUCCCAAUGGGACGGGAAAAUCCACAAUCGUUGCCGCGAUCGUUCUUGGGAUGGGAGGACAUUGUAAGCUAUUGUCGCGGUCUGGAAGUAUAGAUGAUUACAUUAAAAACGGCAAAUUAGUUGCCAAAAUCGAGGUAGCCCUGUAUAAGAACGCCAAACGGGCCGUUAUCAUGUUCAAUCGAACGUUCGACCGGGACGGAAAGGACCGCUUCGAUAUCGAUGGAACCAAAGUCUCACAUAAGGACUUUCUAAAGCGGAUCCGGGAUCUGAACAUUCAGAUUGACAAUUUGUGUCAGUUUUUACCACAGGAUCGUGUUCAGGAUUUCACAAAAAUGAACCCGCGGGAGCUGCUGCUAAAUACACAGUCAUCGGUCUGCUCGGCGCAAAUGUCUGACGUGAUGGAACAACUGAUGAACAAACGGAAGGAACAGAAGAAUGUUUCCAAAUCGAGUUCGGACAAUUUGACGAAACUGAAGGAGGCUGAGGCAAAGAACGAGGAACUUCGUGCUCAAAUUGAUACCAUGAACGCUAGGAAAAAGUUUGAAACGGAAGUGGAGAUUUGCAACGCUCGUAAGGCUUGGUUGGAAUACGAGCAAAUCUUUACGGAUUACACAGCGAUAAAAGCAGACGUUCAACUAGCGAAAAAAAACCUAGACGCUAAGCAAAAAUGUUUGGAUCCGCUGAAGACGAAAGCAACAAAGUUGAACAAGACGAAAGCCGAACUGAACGGUAAAAUAACGCAAGAACAUAACGAGAUUUCCAAACAUUCCGAGCAGCUGCGACAAAUGGAGACAAAAACCGAACAGAUGGAAGAUUUGAUCAGUAAACAGAAACGGGACUUGCAGGACGCCAUUUCCCAUGCAGCCAAUCGAGAGAAUGAAUUGGAGCAGGCUAAAAAGGCGCUCUCACUGGCCGUGCAGGAUUGUAAGCAGGCCUACCAAGAUAUGGGCUCGGAAAGUGACCAAGAGAAUCAGAAACGAGUAUUAGUAGACAAAAUUAAUAAGCUCAAGCAUGAAUGUGAUCUACUGAUUGGGCGAAGAAAUGAGCUGAAUCAGAAGAUCGAAAACGAUCUUAAACCUGAGAUGGUUAGCGUUCAGAGACGGAUCGAAUCAUUGGAAAACGUUGGCCAAGUCAAGUUAAAGCUACUGCAGUCCCAGUUUGAUUCAACGUACCAGGCGACGCUCUGGCUUCGGGACAAUCAGCACCUGUUCCGUGGAAAAAUCUACGAACCGAUCAUUCUGGAAUUGAACGUUUUGAACAGCGACAAUGCUAAGUAUCUUGAAAACACGAUAGGUAAGCGAGAUCUGAUUGCGUUCACCUGCGAAGAUAGAGAUGAUAUGGCAUUGUUCCUGCGAAAGGUACGGCAAGAAAUGCGUCUGGAUGGCGUAAAUGUUGUGUUCUCGGAACCUGCUGAAGAGCUGCUGUAUCGCCCUCGAAUUCCUAUCCAUCAACUAGAACGAUACGGUUUCAGCUCAUAUCUGAUCGACAUGAUCGAUGGACCCUAUCCGAUUCUAAACUUUCUGUGCAAACUGUACAACCUGCACAAUGUACCGGUUGGCACGAAUGAAACCUCCCGGCUCACUUCUAAAAUUCCGGAUGAAAUUCGACUCUUUUUCACGCCAUCGAACCGAUUCAUGAUUAGCAAAUCCCGCUACACUGGUGAGAAAAGUUCCCGCUGCGAUGAACUGCAUACGUUGAACCUGCUCAAUAAAAAUGUCGAUCCGGAAGUACUGGAUGAACGGAAGCGAACGCUUCAGCGGUUGGUCAAAGAGUGUGACAAAAUUCGCAACCAUCGAAACCAGAUCGAGGAUCAGAUUAAAACCGUUCAGGAUCAGUGCACUGAGCUAACCGUGGAACGUCGGAAAAUCGAAGAAAAAUUUUCCCGCUACCAGCAGAUCAAGAUAAAAACUAAACGGGCAGAGCAAAAGUGCGCUGAUCUGCAGGCGCGACUUGUAGAUGUCAGCAAAGAGAAGGCUAAAUUCAAAGAUUCUUGCAAGAAAAUAAUAGAAGAUUUGAUGAAAGCCCAGCAGCGAAAAGUAACUCUUUUGGAUCAGUAUGUAAUGGCUGCGGUGAAACACGAAGCGUACAAGGUGAAACUGUCCAUUUUCAUGAACCAAAAUGCAGAACUCGAGAGUGAAGUCCGCUCUGCGGAAGACGCACUGGACGCGGCCAAGAAAAGCCACGAUAUGGUUGGUCGAAAGUUUGACGACGUGAAGGAGCGACUGAAGCGAAAACAAAUCUUUGCGAAAGGACUCACCAAUAAUACCACCCCGACUAACGAUCAGUUCCCAUACAAACGGGAAUUUGAGAAACUACCGGACCAGCUGGAGGAACUGAAUAAUCACAUGGAGGAGCUGCAGGCUCGAAUAGAUUGUAUGGCUCGUAGCAAUGGAAACAUUUUGGAAGAGUACGAAACACGCUGCCGUCAGAUUGAGUCGUUGAGAGAUGCUAUUCGAGAUUCUACGAAGAGUAGCGAUGCGCUGGAAGCGGAAUUGCAGCAGCUGCACGAUCAAUGGUAUCCGGAGAUCAGUCGGGUGGUGGAGGUAAUCAAUGGGAAUUUUACGCGGUUUAUGAGCACGAUGGGAUUUGCUGGCGAGGUGGAGAUUACCAGGAAUGGAGAGCGUGACUACGACGAGUACGGCAUCCAAAUUCGUGUCAAGUAUCGCAACACGGAGAAGCUACAGGCACUGGAUCGGCACGUGCAAUCCGGUGGGGAACGGGCGGUCGCCAUCGCCAUCUACACUCUGUCGCUACAGCACAUCACGCACGUUCCGUUCCGUUGCGUGGAUGAGAUCAACCAGGGCAUGGAUCCGCGAAACGAGCGCAAGGUGUUCGAAAUGUUGGUAGAUGAAACCUGCCGGCCAGGCCAGUCCCAGUAUUUCUUCGUGACGCCAAAACUUCUACCCAAUCUAAAGUACAACGAUCUAAUGAGUGUAUUCAUUGUCCACAAUGGCAAGUUCAUCCAAGAUUCUCACGUGUUCGUUAAGGACCAGUUGAGGGCUGACGGAUAAAAAGACACACUCUCUCAUCGAUGAGCAUCUUUCUGUAAUAUAGACAUGACUUAAAUUACAACAGUUUUUCUCUGCGCAUCCCGCCAUUAUAUCCGGAUCCAAUCACAAGCUACAUUGUAACUACUUCCACCGGGGUUUGGGUGCGUUGCUAGUAUAAUCGGCUGUAAAUUAUUUUAAUAUCUCUACAUGACCAAAAGCAAAACACGUCACAUACACGUCUACGUACGGGGCGAAUGCAUACGAGAGGAAAGAAACUAGAUUAAUAGCGACCGUUACAGAUCAAUCCACCGCUAAACAAGAGCAGAAAUUAAUUUCUUCGCUGAUGCGUGGCAGCCCGCAGGUGUAUGCGAAUGAGUGCUUUUUUGUUCCUUAACUCGGUGCGGGGCCGCGUGGCACAAGGAGUAAAUCGGCACCUCAGGGUUGUAGAACCUGGUUCGCGUUCGGGAGAUUUUUAAUCAAACUGAAAGCCCAUUAAUCUGGACUGGACGUGUAUUCGUAAUAAAAUAUCGGCGAGCUGUAGGUUCAACCAAUCCCCAUGUCCCUUGCAGACGCUAAUGAGCCUACUUAAGUCAUGUCGAGCUUACUGAGCGGUGUCAAUAAGAUUAUUGUAAUUUUAAUUGAUUUUAUGGAGCCUGUCGUACGCCGUGCACUGGGUGGUGUCCUACUAAGACACUUGCUGCCGUGAGAGUCAGAGUAUCUACUCUCUUCGGCUUUGCAUUCCAUAGCAGUCAGUGAUAAAGACGAACGGUGAGAGCGGUCUAGUUAUGCCCACGAAGCUUUCAUUAUCCGGUGUCACCACAAAAGCUAAACCAGCGAAACUAGUCCAUGCGAUCUCCCGAGAUACGAAACGGUUAGGUUACAAACGUGCAAAUUGUUGUGUGUACCGCCACCGAAGCCAUUCUGAGUAUCCUUAUCAGCGAGAGCAAUUAAUUGAACAUGUUGCACUGCUGAAUGGGGCGUUCUCCCCCAGACAGCUUCUCAGUGGCAGUGGUUGAUGGCAGCAAUGCGGAGUACGUUGAGUUAGAGAAGUCGGCUCAUUUUUCACGUUUUAUGAUAG